GAGACAGCAGAUACAGAUAGUCGAUUGUCGAUCGCUCGCUGCUGUAAAAGAUUCGAGACUGGAAGCACUGACUGCCAGUCCAUAUCUGUAAGGUCUAUGGUUUGUAACUUUUGUGACCGAUGCGCCGUGUGGUGUGAUAUGUCAAGGAAAAGAAGCGGCGUUUUUCGAACAUGGAUGUAAUCCUCGCUCGCGGAUUGAGAUUCAGCGUCGAAUUGGGUAAUGCCUCGGUAUUGUUAACGAAAUAUCUCCCACUGUCGGCAUGUUGCACAUGUCGUGUCAACACAACGCGCUGGAGGUCAGCAUUUCCCGAAAGAUAUCACCGUUAUAGAGCUGCGUCAUAUAACUCCUUAGGUCUUGUAAAUAAUAUAUUUAUAUAUCAAAAGUCAUUGAGACAGGAUAUUAACAAAAAUGGUAUUAUUCUGGCGCACUAUUCGGAUCACAAGCAAGGUUCUGACGGGCAAGAGCCUCAGGCGGAACAAAAACUCACAGUAUUUCAAAAAAUGAAACAAAUGACGAAAGAUUAUUGGCACGUGCUGAUACCUGUGCAUGUGAUCACUUCUAUAGGAUGGGUAGCAAUAUUCUAUACUGCCGUUAUAAACGGCGUGGACGUAGUGCAACUGUUGGAAUACAUGAAUUUUAGUGAAAAAUAUGUAGAUUUAGUACGUAACUCGAAUGCUGGUAACUGGGCCAUUAUUUAUGCGCUUUACAAGAUAUUUACCCCGCUUAGAUACACUGUUACUGUUGGAGGAACGACAAUGGCAAUUAGACAAUUGAGCAAAUUAGGCUAUGUGAAGCCAUUGUCAUUCAAGCUUCAAACAGCAGAGGUGAGUAAUGCAACGCCUGGAAUGCAAUGUCACGUUAUGAAAUUGAAGAAAUAAACCGUUUAACAUAUAAUCUAUCUCUGUGUUGAUAUUUAAAACGUUUAUCUCUUGUCUCUGUUUUCUUUUUACACGCACACACGUGUGGUGCAGCCUGCGGGCAAAGCUAUAACCGGUGCAGUCAAAGAAAUAUGAAGCAGAACACACGACAAGUUUCAAGACAGAAUGUAAAACGGACCGACACACGGAACCACCAAAGUCAUAGAUAUUUCUCCCGCAUUCUACGUCGGACCUACUGGGCUCGGCGUAGCUCGGGGUUUGUUGUCGAUAUGAUGUAUGAUAUUCUCUCUUUAGAAAUAUAUACAUAUUGUAUCAUAAUAAAAAAAAAGGAUCAUUUUCUGCAUUAAA